rnacentral:SRP_RNA from 1 species
GCCGGAUGUGGUGGCGCAUGCCUGUAGUCCCAGCUACUAGGGAGGCUGAGGUGGGAGGACCACUUGAGCCCAGGAGUUCUGGGCUGUAGUGCGCUAUGCCGAUUGGGUGUCCGCACUGAGUUUGGCAUCAACAUGGUGACCUCCCGGGAGCCGGGGAUCACCAGGUUGCCUAAGGAGGGGUGAACCGGCCCAGGUCGGAAAUGGAGCAGGUCAGAACUCCCGUGCUGAUCAGUAGUGGGUUCGUGCCUGUGAAUAGCUGCUGCACUCCAGCCAGGGCAACAUAGCGAGACCCCAUCUCU